UGCGUAGGCGGCUCUAUAAGUCAGUAGUGAAAUCUCGAAGCUCAACUUCGAACGUGCUAUUGAAACUGUAGAGCUUGAGUACAGACGAGGCAGGCGGAAUGUGUUGUGUAGCCGUGAAAUGCUUAGAUAUAACACAGAACACCGAUAGCGAAGGCAGCUUGCCAGACUGUAACUGACGCUGAGGCACGAAAGCGUGGGGAGCGAACAGGAUUAGAUACCCUGGUAGUCC
rnacentral:rRNA from 1 species